GCACCAGAUCGUUCUACCGCUUUAUCAGCUUGGUAAGGAGGAAAGUCCGGGCAAGGCAGAGCACUGUGCUGUUGAAAGAACAGUAGGUUGUGAGAUCUAGCUAAUCGUAACAGAAAACAACCGCCAUGCCCGUAAAAGGGUAGGGUAAGGGUGAAAAGGUGGGGUAAGAGCCUACCGGUAUUGAUAGCGAUAUUGAUAGCCGUACGACCCACAGCUUGCAAGAUCAUGUAUACCGACGUUUAGGACUGCUCGUCCAAGUCGGGGGGUAGAUCGCUCAGAUAAAUGGUAGAAGUUUCCAGAUGGGAGAACAGAACCCGGCUUAUAGAUUUGGUAUUUUA
rnacentral:RNase_P_RNA from 1 species